rnacentral:tRNA from 1 species
GGAGAGAUGUCUGAGUGGCUGAAGGAGCACGCUUGGAAAGCGUGUGAACUCGUAAGGGUUCCGAGGGUUCGAAUCCCUCUCUCUCCGCCA